rnacentral:rRNA from 1 species
CUUACAUGCAAGUCGAGCGAACAGAUAAGGAGCUUGCUCCUUUGAAGUUAGCGGCGGACGGGUGAGUAACACGUGGGUAACCUACCUAUAAGACUGGAAUAACUUCGGGAAACCGGAGCUAAUGCCGGAUAACAUAUAGAACCGCAUGGUUCUAUAGUGAAAGAUGGUUUUGCUAUCACUUAUAGAUGGACCCGCGCCGUAUUAGCUAGUUGGUAAGGUAAAGGCUUACCAAGGCGACGAUACGUAGCCGACCUGAGAGGGUGAUCGGCCACACUGGAACUGAGACACGGUCCAGACUCCUACGGGAGGCAGCAGUAGGGAAUCUUCCGCAAUGGGCGAAAGCCUGACGGAGCAACGCCGCGUGAGUGAUGAAGGUUUUCGGAUCGUAAAACUCUGUUAUUAGGGAAGAACAAAUGCGUAAGUAACUGUGCGCAUCUUGACGGUACCUAAUCAGAAAGCCACGGCUAACUACGUGCCAGCAGCCGCGGUAAUACGUAGGUGGCAAGCGUUAUCCGGAAUUAUUGGGCGUAAAGCGCGCGUAGGCGGUUUCUUAAGUCUGAUGUGAAAAGCCCACGGCUCAACCCGUGGAGGGUC